rnacentral:tRNA from 1 species
GGCCCUGGGGUGUUAUCACGUGGGAUUGCAAACCCCAAGAAGCAGAAUGAACCCUGCCGGGGCUUC